ACGAACGAAAGCAAUGGACGAACACAGCGAGAGGGGAUAACACGAAGGCUCGCAGGCGCGAUUUCGUCAAUCCAUCGCGAGAAGGUUCAUCUCCGGGGUUUGACGAGGCGAAGAAAGAAGAUGGGGAGAAGCAGCGAGGCUGCUUUCACCCUCGUCUGGCUUUGAGAUGCGAAGGAGGGAAGGGUCCGAUGGGGGUCGGUGAGGUAUCGCGUGCAGCAGCUGUGACGAAGACGAGGUCCUCGUAGGUCGUUCGUCGGUGGGAAGAAAAGAGAGCGAGCGAGGCGCGAAAACGGAAAGCGAUUUCGGGGUUUUCAGAUCGAGGGUUUUGUGUGGCUAAGGGGUUGCGAAGGAAAAGAGAAACAGAAGCAGCGGUGCUGCUGGUGGUCUCUGUGGGUGCAACGAGGGCUGCUCAAGCAGCUGCUCUGCUGCUUUCUUCAUUUCCGAUGGUUGCAGGUUUUUAUCAUAAUCGCAGCAAGGCGUCGGCUUGAUUGUACACACUAGAGAAGGAGCUAUAUUUUGAGGGUCUUGGAUUGUUAACUGAAUAAUUAUGGAGUUAUAUUUGGUAAUUUAAAUAAAUGGGAUUUUUGUAAAAGGCGUUGUGAAAAAUUAUGUGAAUUUAAAUGAAAAUUUUGUUUGAAAAAUUUACGGUGUUACACCAGCGAGGUGUUGCGAGCAACAGUAGUGAUGAAGAUGAGGUCCUCGUAGGUCGUUCGUUGGUGGGAAGAAAUGAGAGAGAGGGAGAGAGGCGAAAAAGGAAAGUGAUUCUGGGGUUUCUAGAUCGGGGAUUUUAUGUGGCUAAGGGGUUGCGAAGGAAAAGGGAAACAGAAGCAGCGGUGCUGCUGGUGGUUUCGAUGGGUGCAACAAGGGCUGCUUAAGCAGCCCCUCGGGUAUUAUUUUUUAGUUCUGAUGGUUGCAGAAAUCAAUGGAGGAAAAAAAAUGGUUUUUGGGUUUGAUCUUUGACAAGAGAAGGAGAAGGAAGAAAAAUGGAGGUUUGAUGUCCCAUUGAUUUGACUGAUUUCACAAGAACAGCACCUCCAAUGGAGGUUUUCUUGACUGCUACGAAAACCAAAGGAAACAAAGACGAGAGGGAAAUAGAAGGUAUGAGGGGACUAUUCCUAACAACUUCAAUCUAUAAUUUCUUUUUGUAUAAACUUAGGUAAAUUGAAAUGUGGAAGUAAUUUCCAAUUUGGCAGUACAUUGGUUUUAACUUGUAAGCAUUGUAUUGAUUUAAUUUGAAUAUAUUUGGUACUUUGUAUAUUAUUUGGCAUUUGAGUGGGUAAUUGAUGCACA